rnacentral:rRNA from 1 species
GACGAACGCUGGCGGCGUGCUUAACACAUGCAAGUCGAGCGGUAAGGCCCUUUCGGGGGUACACGAGCGGCGAACGGGUGAGUAACACGUGGGUGACCUGCCCUCAGCUCUGGGAUAAGCCUGGGAAACCGGGUCUAAUACCGGAUAUGACUCCAUGACGCAUGUUGUGGGGUGGAAAGCCUUGUGCGGCUGAGGAUGGGCCCGCGGCCUAUCAGCUUGUUGGUGGGGUGAUGGCCUACCAAGGCGACGACGGGUAGCCGGCCUGAGAGGGCGACCGGCCACACUGGGACUGAGACACGGCCCAGACUCCUACGGGAGGCAGCAGUGGGGAAUCUUGCGCAAUGGGCGAAAGCCUGACGCAGCGACGCCGCGUGGGGAGUGACGGCC